UACGUAGGAUGCAAGCGUUGUCCGGAAUUAUUGGGCGUAAAGAGCUCGUAGGCGGUCUGUCGCGUCUGUUGUGAAAACUCGAGGCUCAACCUCGGGCUUGCAGUGGAUACGGGCAGACUAGAGUGCGGUAGGGGAGACUGGAAUUCCUGGUGUAGCGGUGGAAUGCGCAGAUAUCAGGAGGAACACCGAUGGCGAAGGCAGGUCUCUGGGCCGCAACUGACGCUGAGGAGCGAAAGCAUGGGGAGCGAACAGG
rnacentral:rRNA from 1 species